AAUUUUCUAAUUUUGUCUGUCCUUCCCACUAUUUCCUUCAAUUUUCAGAGGCAGCAGUGUUUGAGCUGUAGUUAUCGGGUUUUCCUGGCUCUUUCUCAGAAGACUGGAACAAGGACUUCAUUCCCUGUUCCUGAAAUGGGCCUUUCCUGUGCUGAUCCUCUCCUGGUUCAUACAGCCCAUGUACAAACAGUCUGCUUCUCAGGAUGAAAACAACUCAGUCAACCAGGAGUGCUACAAAGGAUGCUCAUUGGAGCCCUGUGAGGAAGAGGCCCACAUUCUUCUUUAAGACAUACACAGGAACUUUGUCUUCUGGGGUGCUUAUGCCCAUAGUAUCAAUUGAGAGGGGCAGCAGAGCUUCUGAGAUAUGAAGAAGGUGCUUCCAUAUGAUGAUCAAGAGGUCUAUACGGACAUCGGAAGGGCAUCGGAAGGGCAUCGGAAGGUGUCCAGCCGAGAGGUAUGUGCGGGAAUGGCUCUGCCAGAUGUAUUAGCAGGGAACUGUCCCCCUUGCUGGGCCGAGUGGAAAUGAAGAGAAACAUCUCCAUUCCACCUUGAUUGCAUCC
rnacentral:lncRNA from 1 species